GGUGUUCGGAAAGCUUGUGCAAGGGCUGGCUACAUUAAGGGAUAUUGGAAAGUAUUGUUCCAGCAUGCCAAUUGAAAUUAUGAAUUGUGGCAUGUCGUAUAAUGCUGAUUAUGUUCCUCCUGGUGUGAUUGUGAGGCCUUGUCAGCCUCGAAGAGCAAGUAAAAACCAUGCUAAGGGAAUGGGAGAAGAGAGGGCAAGAAGGGACAUCUCUUCCAAAACCAAAAGGUUCAAAAUCUCUUCAUAAAACUAGAGUUUCACAAAGAUGAAACAUGUACCUAAAACACGCCACAAAGAUAUCAUGGGAUUCCUCAAGUCCAGCCGAAACAUUAGACGAAAUUAAGAUGGGUGGAUAUCCUUGCUGCAAAUUCUCUUUUAGAAACUAUAUACAUAUAGUUAGGAUACAAGCGCUGCAUUGCCUCUGAAUUUUCUUGCUUGUAUCGUGGUUAAUACAGUACCAUUAUUUAAGCAACAAUGCUACUGCUUCCCAGUCUUUAAUAGUUUGCCUGAGGAAAUCGUCGAGAGAUUUAUAGAUUCUUGAUGCUUGUUUGGUUUAGCAUAUUAAGGGUUAAGCUCCAGAAAAUUCUUUUAACACUCAAAUGAUGGGAUGUCAAAUUUAUUGAUCCAGCAGGAUCUGCCUUUCUUCGACAGGUCCGCAUAUGUUGUAUAUUUCUUAGUAAGUUACUCGUCGAUUUUUUUUGGUUUU